rnacentral:snRNA from 1 species
AUACCUUUCUCGGCCUUUUGGCUAAGAUCAAGUGUCGUAUCUGUUCUUAUCAGUUUAAUAUCUGAUAUGUGGGCCAUCGGCCCACACGAUAUUAACUUAAUUUUUAGGGGUUUUGACAUGGUGUGACAACGUACUCACA